rnacentral:rRNA from 1 species
AACGAACGCUGGCGGCAUGUCUUACACAUGCAAGUCGAACGAGACCUUCGGGUCUAGUGGCGCACGGGUGCGUAACGCGUGGGAACCUGCCCUUAGGUUCGGAAUAACUCCCCGAAAGGGGUGCUAAUACCGGAUAAUGUCUUCGGACCAAAGAUUUAUCGCCUUUGGAUGGGCCCGCGUUGGAUUAGCUAGUUGGUAGGGUAAAAGCCUACCAAGGCGACGAUCCAUAGCUGGUCUGAGAGGAUGAUCAGCCACACUGGGACUGAGACACGGCCCAGACUCCUACGGGAGGCAGCAGUGGGGAAUAUUGGACAAUGGGCGAAAGCCUGAUCCAGCAAUGCCGCGUGAGUGAUGAAGGCCUUAGGGUUGUAAAGCUCUUUUACCCGGGAUGAUAAUGACAGUACCGGGAGAAUAAGCUCCGGCUAACUCCGUG